AGAGUUUGAUCCUGGCUCAGGAUGAACGCUAGCGACAGGCUUAACACAUGCAAGUCGAGGGGCAGCGAGGAAGUGGCAACACUUCCGUCGGCGACCGGCGCACGGGUGAGUAACGCGUAUGCAACCUGCCCUUCACAGGGGGAUAACCGGGAGAAAUUCCGACUAAUACCGCAUACGUCCUCCGGGGGCAUCCCCGGGGGAUGAAAGAGUUAUCGGUGAAGGAUGGGCAUGCGUGAUAUUAGGUAGUUGGCGGGGCAACGGCCCACCAAGCCCACGAUAUCUAGGGGUUCUGAGAGGAAGGUCCCCCACAUUGGUACUGAGACACGGACCAAACUCCUACGGGAGGCAGCAGUGAGGAAUAUUGGUCAAUGGACGAGAGUCUGAACCAGCCAAGUCGCGUGAAGGAAGACGGAUCUAUGGUUUGUAAACUUCUUUAGUGCGGGAACAAAGCGGCGUCGUGACGCCUGAUGAGUGUACCGCAAGAAUAAGCAUCGGCUAACUCCGUGCCAGCAGCCGCGGUAAUACGGAGGAUGCGAGCGUUAUCCGGAUUUAUUGGGUUUAAAGGGAGCGCAGGCUGCGAGGCAAGUCAGCGGUCAAAUGUCGGGGCUCAACCCCGGCCUGCCGUUGAAACUGUCUUGCUAGAGUUCGAGUGAGGUAUGCGGAAUGCGUUGUGUAGCGGUGAAAUGCAUAGAUAUGACGCAGAACUCCGAUUGCGAAGGCAGCAUACCAACUCGCGACUGACGCUGAGGCUCGAAAGCGUGGGUAUCGAACAGGAUUAGAUACCCUGGUAGUCCACGCAGUAAACGAUGAAUACUAACUGUUCGGAGGGCGACCUCUGAGUGGUAAAGCGAAAGCGUUAAGUAUUCCACCUGGGGAGUACGCCGGCAACGGUGAAACU
rnacentral:rRNA from 1 species